GCCGCUUCUUUCUUCCGCCGUCUCUUCUCCAGAUCUUUCCACCAUCUUCGUUUCUCUCUCUCUGUUCCUUUAAUCAUCCUUUUCUUCCAUAUUUUUUUUCGUGCAUUCUUGUUCUCGUCAGAUCUUACCGUCUCUUCUUGUCAGAUCUUGCAUUUUUUUUUUUGAAAAUAGACAACGAGUACACUAUCUGUUCUUGUCGGAUCUUUUUUUUUUGUUGCUUUUUUUCCCUUUUCUGAUUGCUACUACUAUUUUGUUGUUUAUGAGGAUUAUGUUAUUCUUUUUAAUUUUUAGAUUUUUUAUUUCUGUAGCUUGGAUGAGCCCGUGAGGUGGGGUUUCAAAGAUUUCCACUUUAUUGAUGCAAGAAUUGGAUGUUGGGUACUAGCACUUGAAGAUAUAUGCUUUAGAUUGAUCCUUUUACGUGCGAGGUCUGAUAGGAGUUUCUUCCGUCAGGUUGAGCAAUGUAUAAAUGAGGAGAAAGCAAGAGCUUGUCAUUUUCUCUGCUCACCUUCAAUUGAGAAGAUGUUGUGGUAAUGCCUACAGUUAUAGAAAUAAUAGUAGAUAUACCUGAGGAUUCACAAGUGACACUUACAGGGAAUAUCGACGAACAAGAUUUUGGAUGCGAGAAAGCUUUUAGGGGUCCAUGUUCAGACAUGCCAUCUAACCAAUUACUCCAUGUCUCACGUGCUAAGCCGGGCGAUUGAUUAGCUUGGCUGCUUUUUAUGUUUAUGAAGUUAAACAUGAGAACGUUGAAUUGAGUGAUCGUGUCGCUGGCCGGCUAAGAGGAAAGAAUCUGUUGUCCUGCCUGUGUGACACAUUCAUGUUUUCUGAUUAGGAAUGCAGCUCAAUGUUAAAUUGAUUAUUGUAAUUUUUAUUUUUUUUUAGCCUUUUUCUAGAUAACAAUUUUAUUAGAUGUUUUUAGUUAAUGUCUAAUAUGUAUUUAUCAUUGUUAAAGAACUUAACUGCGGAAACUUUUGUAGUAGCUAGGUUGCUAAUUGAUAUGGCUCAAUUGCCAUUUCAGUUUGUACAUGGCUUACGUUUUGUAUAUGUAUAUGGAACAUGAUGCUUUUCCGUUCUA